rnacentral:rRNA from 1 species
GAGUAAAGUGGCGCACGGGUGAGUAACACGUAGAUAACCUACCCUUUAGUCUGGGAUAGCUUUCCGAAAGGAGGGGUAAUACCGGAUGAUACCAGAUGGCGAAUGUCAACUGGUUAAAAGAUUUAUCGCUAAGGGAUGGGUCUGCGGACCAUUAGCUAGUUGGUGGGGUAAGAGCCUACCAAGGCGACGAUGGUUAGCGGGUCUGAGAGGAUGAUCCGCCACACUGGAACUGAGACACGGUCCAGACUCC